UUAAAGGCAGCCUCGACCUUGGUGCCCCAGCUCCCCACCAUCCUCCCUGCCUUUCAUUAGGAAAAAUUAAAUGGGAAAGGGUGGGGGAGGGGAGCCUAGAUGCCUGGGUUCCCUGUGUGAGGCUGGGGGUGGGGGGGGAGCAGCUGGGUGCUGGCCCUAAUGGCUGCAGGGUAUGACACCCCAGAUCUUGCUCGGCACCUCUGGUGCUGCUGGGUGGGGGGCACCCAGAUGCUUUAAUCUGUAGGGCCCCCUGUGGGGUCUGAGCCCCUGCUCCUGGCAGGGAGAGGGGGAAGUGACUGGGGGCUGGGGGGGGCCUUACCUGGACACCUGGAUCUCCUGGCCUUGCUGGGACCUGUCUCAUGGGACAUUGCCAUCUCCCCCCACCCAUCAUGACCUGCAGCAGGGAGCUGGCAUUGUCCCCUGACACACCCCCCCCCCUAUUGAUUAGAGGAGGGCAGGAAAUUGCCUGGGCGCUGGAUGAUAAAUCCAUCGGGUGCCUGGCAGGCAGGCAGCUUGCCCCGGUGCUGCCUGAUGGAUCGCUUCCUAUUAGCCCCGGCACAGGGGGGGCUGCUCCAGGCUGGGCUGGGCUCUGGGUGGGGGGACACGCGUGGCACUGCUGCCUGUGCCCACCCUCCCCAGGCCUGGCACUGCCAGCUGGCAACGGCUCAGUCAGAGGGCUGGAAAAACCCAGGAGGCUGGGUGAUGCUGGGGGGAAAAAAUGGGGGGGCCCCUUGCUCCCCACGUUUUGCAGUGGAUUGUGCCCGAAUCCCCACCCCGGUACGGGGGCAGGGGUCUGGGGCUGGUUUUGCUCCCCACCACGGGAGGUGGGUGCCUCAGGGUGGGCACCGCGCUGCCCGCCGGGUUUAUUUACAAACAGGCGGGAGCUGGCACAGGGCAGUCGGGCACCAGCGGGACCUGGCGGCCUAUAAUGUUAAUUAUCACCACGUAAUUAAAAGCCCAUAAAAAGCCUCACACUUCAUUAAAUUAAAGCUUCCCUGCACCAUGCCGACGGGCUCCAGCAGAGUUAACCUUGGCCGUGCCAGGCACCAGCUCCACUGCAGCUGGGGACCUGCGGCGGGGGGUGUAUGGGACCAAGGCUGGGGGCGUGCAGCCCCCCACGCUGUUGUGGGGGGAUGCAGCUCUGCACAGGGGCACCCCCCAACACCAUUCAUCACACACGGGAAGCACACCCUGCUGCAUGCACAGCGUCACACACACGCGCAGGGGGAUGUCGUCCCAGUCGGAGCUGCCCCUACGGCCUCGCAUGGACGCGUGUGCCCGUGCCAGCCCCGCAGACACAUGCCGUCACGCCCACCGGGAUGCGGGCAGGGGGCUGACACGGGCACGUGUGUGCACACCCAGAUGUGCACCCGCUGCCUGCACGGCCGCUGCCGAGGCAGCAUCACACAGUGGCACAGCAGCUCCGGCACACGACGCCCACACGGCGCACACCUACACAAACAGCGUCUCUUCUUCCUGCCUACCAUGGGGACAGGCAGACAACAGACACACACCCUGCGUCUUCUCCAGGCCCCCACCCAUUGUUGCCAGUGCCUGGAGAGGUGAUCGGCUGUGGAGAGAGCACCUGUCUGUGCCUGCACACACACCACACCCCCCCCAUGCCUCAGUUUCCCCAAGGGCCAUGCUGUGCUGAGAGAGGUGCAUGGGGGACCCCCAAACCCUCCUGGCAGCCUGGUGCUCUGGGUCAGGGGUGCAGUGCCCAGGUCUGGGGGGAUACAAAGUGGGGAGGGCCCCCCCCCAGCACACAAGGAGGGGGGUGUAUGUGUUAAGGGGGGAUAUGCAUGGACUGGGGGGUGUGUGUGUGCACAGAAGGAGGGGUGCUGUGCUGGGGCUAUGUAUGUGCACGAGCAGGUGUGGGUGUGUGCACAAGGGGUGUCUAUAUGUGCCCAUGUGUUGGGGGGAUAUAUAUAUACCCACCCCUAGGUGUGUCGUGCUGGUGUGCACACAGGGCUCGAGGGGUGGGGGGAGCCAGGGCACACACACCUGUGAACACAGGGUGUGCAACUGGCACA